UUUAAAAAAAGACAUAAAGUUAAGGAUUUAUCAAUAGGUAAUGUUGCUCCAAUACCCAACCAAAGGGCUACUGCAGUACCAAUCAAAAAGACAGUUGUCGCUACGGGACGACGAAAUGGAUUUUGGAAUUUAUUAACAUUCUCCAAAAAGGGUACGGUUAAUAAUCCCGCAGGUACUGAAACCAU